rnacentral:tRNA from 1 species
GCGGUAGCGUAGAAAAAGAAGCAGCCGAAGAGGGUCGCGUUCAAGUUGCCAAGGUUGGGGUCGAGGGUUCGAAUCCCUUCGCCCGCUCCA